AUUGUAUGUAUGUGUUGGAAUAUAUUACCCCAGUGAAGAAAGAGACGCGUCUAAAGGCAUCCAAAAAUUGUACCAGCUCCGAUUGACUUCCGUGGGACGAAGAAUUUGGACCUCCACUGAGAUGAGGCCGACUGAGAAUGAGGACCUCCAUUAUCAUACCACACUGAGACGUACCUUCCACAGACACGGCGUAUAUCUGAAUGUCUUCAUUAUUCUUGGUGUCCCGGAUGGUGUAAAUUCCACUAUCCCCCUUCGUCAUGUGUCUCAGUGUGAGCUCAGGGUAAAUGAGAGAUGUUCUGUGUCUGUAAUCAUCUUUACACUGUAGUGAGUCUUUAGUCACACUGCAGAUCACUUCAUCAGCUGAAUCACUG